rfam:Citrobacter koseri ATCC BAA-895, complete genome.
AAUGGCACCUCGGUUUUACCAGGUAGAAAUGUCCGGUUCGCUUUGGUCGGUGACGCCGGACGGGCAGGCCCACUUCGUGUGGGCUUUUG